rnacentral:rRNA from 1 species
CAGCCGCCGCGGUAAAACGAAGGUCCCGAGCGUUGUUCGGAAUCACUGGGCGUAAAGGGAGCGUAGGCGGCGUGGUAAGUCAGAUGUGAAAUCCCGGGGCUCAACCCCGGAACUGCAUCCGAUACUGCCGUGCUAGAGGAUUGGAGAGGUAGCUGGAAUUCUUGGUGUAGCAGUGAAAUGCGUGGAGAUCAAGAGGAACACUCGUGGCGAAAGCGAGCUACUGGACAAUAUCUGACGCUGAGGCUCGAAGGCCAGGGUAGCGAAAGGGAUUAGAUACCCCAGUAGUCCCUGUCUCUUAUAC